rnacentral:tRNA from 1 species
GCGGAUGUGGCGGAAUGGUAGACGCACUAGACUUAGGAUCUAGCGCUUUAAGCGUACAGGUUCAAGUCCUGUCAUCCGUACCA